rnacentral:lncRNA from 1 species
AGAGUUUCCGAUUGGGACACUCUAUUUGAUACCUGAAAUCUGAGAGAAAAAGGAAUCAAUUAACCAGAAACGACAUCGUCAAUUUACCUUUUGUCUGGACUAAAUGCUAUUGCUCAAAUUGCUGAUGGAUGGUGCUACUUGUUUUCAGGAUAUGGUAUCUGACUGAUCCAGCUGUUCAAAGUUGUUGUAAUCAUCAGUUUUGAUUCACAGUUUAUGUAAAGAAGUAAUUAACAAAAUGACUCAAUACUUGGCGAAAUCAACUCUGUGUACCUAAGUAAUUAAACGCGCCUAGGUGAGACCGGUUUGAUGCAGGAAAGCGCACUGGACCGGAAAAUAACAUGUUUGAAACAGCUAAAAAUGCUUGGAAAUAGCUUAGAACAAGUAAAAAACAGCUAGAGAUGGCCGGGAUUCGGGAAUACUCGUGUGCCUUGCUUGUCUCGGGCGUGCGUGCUUUUUAAGCGGCUUCCGCAUAGGCGACAGGCUCACCCUUUGCGCAUUGAGCCUUUAACUACCUAGGUACCUGCUCUUUCGUGUGAUGAGAAUAAUCUUUCAUCAUGGGGGAGUGGGCGGGGAAUGGUGGACUUUUUCUAGCAGCUCAAAGCAUGGCGGUCGAUAUAGUCAUGGUAUGAUGCGUAUCUAAAUAUUCAGAUCCUAUUACGGCUACUCUACUGGGACAGGUUCGUAGCAUACUGAUACACUUAUGUCUCUGUUUAGUCUUA